AGAGUUUGAUCCUGGCUCAGGAUGAACGCUGGCGGCGUGCCUAACACAUGCAAGUCGAACGGACUGACAGAUAGCAGAUAGCGACUGGCAGAUAGCUUGCUAUCUACCACAAGCUAUCAGCCAUCAGCCAGUUAGUGGCGAACGGGUGAGUAACACGUAGGUGACCUGCCCCGAAGAGGGGGACAACCGCUGGAAACGGCGGCUAAUACCCCAUGUGGUCAUGAGGGUUAGAGGCCUCAUGAUUAAAGCUCCGGCGCUUCGGGAGGGGCCUGCGGCCUAUCAGCUAGUUGGUGGGGUAAUGGCCCACCAAGGCAAUGACGGGUAGCUGGUCUGAGAGGACGAUCAGCCACACGGGCACUGAGACACGGGCCCGACUCCUACGGGAGGCAGCAGUGAGGGAUAUUGCGCAAUGGGCGAAAGCCUGACGCAGCAACGCCGCGUGGGUGAUGAAGGCCUUCGGGUUGUAAAGCCCUUUUCUGGGGGAAGAGGAAGGACGGUACCCCAGGAAUAAGUCCCGGCUAACUACGUGCCAGCAGCCGCGGUAAUACGUAGGGUGCGAGCGUUAAUCGGAAUUACUGGGCGUAAAGGGUGCGCAGGCGGUUCUGUAAGUCAGAUGUGAAAUCCCCGGGCUUAACCUGGGAACUGCGUUUGAAACUACAGAGCUAGAGUGUGGCAGAGGGGGGUGGAAUUCCAUGUGUAGCAGUGAAAUGCGUAGAGAUAUGGAAGAACAUCGAUGGCGAAGGCAGCCCCCUGGGUCAACACUGACGCUCAUGCACGAAAGCGUGGGGAGCAAACAGGAUUAGAUACCCUGGUAGUCC
rnacentral:rRNA from 1 species